UGUGUGUGUAUGCAUGUAUGUUUAUCAGUAUGUAUGUGUAUGUAUGCCAUUAUGUAUAUAUGUCAGUAUAUAUUUAUGUGUAUGUAUGUCUGUUUGUCAGUAUGUAUGUGUGUGUCAGUAUGUGAGUAUGUAUGUACAACAGUGUGUGUGUCUGUAUGUCAGUGUGUGUGCGUGUAUCUGUGUAUGUAUCUAUAUGUAUGUCUGUUUCAGUAUUUGUGUCUGUUAGUAUGUGUGUAUCUUUCUGUGUGUCUGUGUCC